CUGUGCUUGUGUGUACAGAUGCAUAUAGGCCAAAAGAAGGACCCACAUGGCUUCAUUCAUAACCUUACAACUUUUUUUUAUAGAUCUUUAUACCCAGGAAUUUGUCUGUUCCUUCUAAAUCAUCUAGAAUUUCUCAAAGGAAAAGAUAAUUCAUUGUCCUGUUGCCUAAAAGCAGUUGCUGCAGAUGUUUGGAGAGAAGGUGUAUAUAAACACCCUGAAGAGAUAAUGUCUCUCACCAGCAUGGAACUCACCAAGCAGGCUAGGCAGGCGAGGCUGCUCAGCGAACCCUAGAGAUUUGUCUGUCUCCAUGUUUCCAACCCUGGCAUUACCAGCUUGCUGCAACACACCUGGCAUCUGGGGAGAGAACUCAGGUCUCUAUGCUUGAGAGGCAAGUAUUUUACUAACUGAUCCAUCUCCAUAGUUGUUCUUUAUAUUUUUAACCUAAAAAGAAAAGAAAAAGAAAAAGAAACGUGUAGCUUCCUUUCAAAGGAUGAGGCUCUACAGAUUGUUAAAUUGCUUCAGGAGACCAGCUUGGUUAGAGGAGAGCCUUAAAAACUUACACGUGAAAAGAUUUAAAGCAUGAGGAAAAUCACACCUGGGCUGAUUCUAAAAUUCCCCCAAAAUGGGAUUUUUUGUUUUGUUUUAUGGGUUUUUUUUAAAUAAAAGGGCUUUUCUUCUUCUUUUGGUACUUGGUUGAAUUUCAGAACUUUAGGAAAUUCUUUGGGUCAUCUGGUUGACCUUUAAGCACUUUCUACUUGCCAAACUCCUAAUUUCUCUGAUAUAGAAUACAUUGGAUUUUUAAGUAGGGGCUUUCCAAUUUACCCUUAAGUUAUCCCCAUCUCUUUAUCUGGUGACUUCCAUUUUAAGAUUUCAAUUUUAGUGAGACAAUUUCAAAGACCGUUAUUCUAUGACAUUAACAUAUGAACUAAUAUUACUUUUAUUUAAUAAUUUGAUGUGGAGAAAAUAAAAUAUAAAGAUGGAAUGCCUAAUGAAACCAGGGUUUCCAGAAGGAAGAGCCAACAGCAGCAGUAAAUUAUAGUUAUUUUUUGACCAAGAAUUUAAACCUUGUUAUUAAAAUAUUAUUUCUUAUGAAAUAUUUAGUGAUUGAUUAUUUUACAGAUUUCAGGACAUAUCAUUUAGUAAACCACUUAGGAAAAAGAAUUCAUGUCUAGAUGUUUAGCAUAGACAUUUCAACAAUGAAAACUGUUUUUACACCUCAUAGAAGGGCUUAAAACUUACAUAAGAAAUGGUGUGGUGUCAGAGGCAGUUAUAUGAACAGGACAUCUCUACCAUCCCUAGGUUUGGGACAAUAGAAUUUGGUGUUGUCAGAAUUCAGAAGCUGGGUUGCCUGGUGAGAGUUGGGACUACAGCAGGAAGGGCAUAGUUGGUGGGAUCUAGUUUCUUUGGAGUUACUAAUUCCUCGGUAAACUCCAAAAGUGUCUCGGGAAUGUGUCCUAACUGUGAUUCUAAGAGAGGAAAGGGAGUGAAUUUAUCUGAAAACCUUCCAGUAAAUGACUGGAUUAAUGAGAACCAGUAGUGAUGUCAACUGACUCAGUGAUAUAUGAGUUCUCAGAGUCAGAGAUGAGACAGCUGGCCUAUUGUCAGUGUGCAGCUGGAUAGCUGCUCUAGAAGAGUGGCUGAUUGCAUGAUUACACUUUCCUCCUGGCUUAUUUCCUGAAGGUGCACUGUAUCCAUCCAUAAUGGGCAUGAAGACAUCCAGUGUCUAUAGUCAAGGUGUGAAACUCAACAACGUGGGACCACAAGCAUCAGGCUCAAUGUAGUGACGCUCUCUUUUUCCUGAAAAAGAGGCUAUUCCUGUCAGUAGCUUCUGAGUCAUGUCCAGGGAAGCACAGCCUCUCUCCAUGGAUUCCUACAGCCAGGUUUUCCUAUGACUCCUUGAAAAUGGCAGUGCAGCCUGAAUCUGCUUUAAUACUGGUUUCUUCCCAAGCUGAGUGAAUCUGACCCCUUUCUAACUUGGAACAAAUCACACAUACAAAAUGAAGAUGAAAUGCCUCCAUCCAGUCUCUACCGGGCCCACGGCGGCAGAGUGUCACCCACAUUCUACUUCCUCAGUUAAAACUCCCGGGAAACACUCGCAGGUGGGUGUAGAGGCGUGUUUCCCAGGUGGUCCAAGUUCAGUUAACAAUGAAGAUUACUCAGCACAGCCAGGGCUAUAGUUUCUUGGUAAAAGAGUUACCUAGCAUUUGAAGGGCUCUGAGUUCUACCCUGGUACCAGGAAAUAAAAUGUAACAAAACCACAAAUCUCAUCCAACAUUAGAUAACAAAUGAGAUGCCUGAAUGGGAUUACAAUCAAGGGGGAAAGCCAGUUUAAAAAUCUGAUUUUUAUAGGAAACCUGAUGUUGUGAAGUUCUUUGCAGUAGGAGAGUCCAUAUAUGAAAAAAUAUUAUUUAUAGUUACUGCCAUCAAUGCUUCUCUGUGAUGCGGUAAAUAACAGACCCAAACCCCAACUAGCAAACUAGCCACGGGUUUAGCUGGCUAGGAAUAGCACUACUGUGUUCUUGUUUUUUGGAUUGCAGCCUGGCCCUUCCACCUCUUUUCCCUCUGGGCAUAUCUGACUGUAGGUCUUUGCAGGUCAUGGCUGGACUAUUGGUAAGCAUAUUAUCUUAAAAGAGGAAAGAAAUGGUUUCAUUGGAGAAUCACCGUGUCAAGAAGGUUGUGUACCUCCCUGAUAUUGAAAAUGCCAAUUUCUCAUAAAAAGGCAAAACCCUUCAUUUCGAAAGGUUGAAUAUAAUGUUAUUUAACUAAUUUCAAAUGGCUACCUUUAGGUCACGGAAAAAGUCUAAAUCUAGGAAGAGUCUCUGGGGCCUGUAACAUUUUCAUUUGAUUCAAGAAUGGCUAAAUUUUAAGUCGUUUUAACCUCUUGCCUUUUGAUAUUUGGCUCCACUGACAGGAAGUGUCUGUCCACUGCAAGAGAUUUGAAGUAACAGAAUGGCCUCCUUAAUCAGGAGUCAGUUUCCAUUACAUUCUUGGGAGCUAAAGCACCCAGGUACAUAUGCUAGUUGGAUGGGUUUAUUGGCAGACCCAUGGGCAUUAUAAAGAUUCUAAGUGAAGUUUACAGAAUAUUACCAUGCCCACUGCAGCCUCAUUCAAACCCUUUUUCAAGUUAAAGUCGUGUGAUUGUGGUUUUUAUUAUAAGAGUCUUCUUGGCUUUGGAACGUUACACAAAUGGUAAUAGAAACCUCUGUGCUUCAUUCACUUGUCACUGUGCAUGUAAGGGUCAUCCAUGUCACCCUUGUCUUUUCAGAAAGACACCACAAUUGAUUUCUUGCUCUCAUCUAAGUUUACAUAGCCAUUUGGAUUAUUUCCAAUUUGUGGUGGUUAAAACAGCUGCUUUUGAGGCUUGGUAGACAGAUCAGGCCAGAAGUUACCUAGGUGCCUUUCCCAUAUGUGUUUCAUCCCUCCUUCCCCUCCUCCUU
rnacentral:sRNA from 1 species